GAUAUGUGUAUAACAGACGGGGAAUUUACCAUAGAUCUCCGUACCAAGAGCACCGGCGGAGCUCCCACCUUCAACAUCACUGUCACCACGACUGCCAAGACGCUGGUCCUGCUGAUGGGCAAAGAAGGUGUCCACGGCGGGAUGAUCAACAAGAAAUGUCAUGAAAUGGCCUCCCACCUGCGGCGUUCCCAGUACUGACCUCGUCCACCCCUCUCCCCCCACCACCCCCCACUGCUUUUGCACCCCUCUCCUUCCCAUACACACAC